rnacentral:rRNA from 1 species
GUGCCAGCAGCCGCGGUAAUACGGGGGUGGCAAGCGUUGUUCGGAAUUACUGGGCGUAAAGGGCGCGUAGGCGGCAUAGCAAGUCAGAUGUGAAAGCCCCGAGCUCAACUCGGGAAUUGCAUCUGAAACUGCUGUGCUUGAGUCCUGGAGGGGGUAGUGGAAUUCCCAGUGUAGCGGUGAAAUGCGUAGAUAUUGGGAGGAACACCUGCGGCGAAGGCGGCUACCUGGACAGUGACUGACGCUGAGGCGCGAAAGCUAGGGGAGCGAACGGGAUUAGAAACCCCUGUAGUCC